UAAAUAGCCAGGCCGGCUCCGGCCGGUCGUGGGCUUCUUAGAGGGACUGACGGCGUUCAGCCGUCGGAAGUUUGAGGCAAUAACAGGUCUGUGAUGCCCUUAGAUGUUCUGGGCCGCACGCGCGCUACACUGACCGGGCCAGCGAGUGUCCGCCUGGGCCGAGAGGCC
rnacentral:rRNA from 1 species